UACGUAGGGUGCGAGCGUUAAUCGGAAUUACUGGGCGUAAAGCGUGCGCAGGCGGUUCGACAAGUCCGAUGUGAAAGCCCCGGGCUCAACCUGGGAAUGGCAUUGGAAACUGGCGAGCUUGAGUGUGGCAGAGGGGGGUGGAAUUCCGCGUGUAGCAGUGAAAUGCGUAGAGAUGCGGAGGAACACCGAUGGCGAAGGCAAUCCCCUGGGCCUGCACUGACGCUCAUGCACGAAAGCGUGGGGAGCAAACAGG
rnacentral:rRNA from 1 species